rnacentral:lncRNA from 1 species
UUCACCCCCAUCCGCCAGGUCCGACAUUCAUUCCAGGCAUUCCCACAUUCCCAGCUCCCAUUCCCAGUUUCCCAUUCCCAUCCCCAUUCCCACAUUCCCAGUCCCCAUUUCCACUUUCCCAAUUCUCAUCCCCAUUUCCAUUCCCAGUCUCCCAUUGCCACUUUCCCAUCCCCAUUCCCUGAUUCCCAUUCCCAGUUUCCCAUUCCCAUUCCCAAUUCCCCAUUCCCAGUUUUCCAUCCCCACUCCCAGUUCCCAUUCCCACAUUUCCAUCCCCAAUCCCAUCCCCAUUCCCAGUUCCCAUUCCCAAUUCCCCAUUCCCAGUUUCCCAUUCCCACCUUUCCCUCCCCAUUCCCAGUUCCCCAUUCUCAGUUUACCAUCCCCAUUCCCAGUUUCCCAUUCCCAAGUUUCCAUCCCCAUUCCCAUCCCCAUUCCCAGUUCCCAUUCCCAAGUUUCCAUCCCCAUUCCCAGUUCCCAUUCCCAUUUCCAUUGCCACUUUCCCAUUGCCACUUUCCCAUCCCCAUUCCCAGUUUUCCAUCCCCAUCCCCACUCCCCGUCCCCAUUCCCAAUUCCCCAUUCCCACAUUUCCAUCCCCAAUCCCAUCCCCAUUCCCAGUUCCCAUUCCCAAUUCUCCAUUCUCACAUUUCCAUCCCCAUUCCCAGUUUCCUAUUCCCAUCCCCAUUUCCAUUCCCACUUUCCCAUUGCCACUUUCCCAUCUCAAUUCCCAGUUUCCUAUCCUCAUUCCCUAUUCCCCAUCCCCAUUCCGUUUCCCAUUUCCAGUUUCCCCAUUCCCAUUCCCAUUCCCCAUCCCCAUUCCCAAUUCCCCAUUCCCAGUUUCCCAUUCCCACCUCUCCCAGUCCCCCUUCCCAAUUCCCCAUUCCCACAUUUCCCUCCCCAUUCCCAAUUCCCCAUUCCCACAUUUCCAUCCCCAUCCCCAUUCCCAGUUCCCAUUCCCAAUUCCUCAUUCCCAGUUUCCCAUUCCCAUCCCCAUUCCCACUUUCCCAUCCCCAUUCCCAGUUUUCCAUCCCCAUCCCCACUCCCCGUCCCCAUUCCCAAUUCCCCAUUCCCAGUUUUCCAUUCCCAUUCCCAGUUCCCCAUUCCCACAUUCCAAUCCCCAUUCCCAGUUCCCAUUCCCACAUUUCCAUCCCCAUUCCCAUCCCCAUUCCCACCUUUCCCUCCCCAUUCCCAAUUCCCCAUUCCCACAUUUCCAUCCCCAUUCCNUGUGGGAUGCUGUUCCAUUCCCACAUUCCCACAUUCCCAGAAUUCCCGAUAUUCCCACAGGAUGCAGGGCAGCAUUCCCU